AUUCAGCUGAUGAGUUCGAAUUAGGAUGAAACGCUCGUCCUGAAU
rnacentral:hammerhead_ribozyme from 1 species